rnacentral:lncRNA from 1 species
CUGUUGAUGUUAAGGCAAGUGAAGACUGGCUCCCAGCACAAACUUUUCGAAUAAACAUUCCUUGCAAGGCUUCUAUAACUUUAGGUUUAUAUACUCUAUUUGUAUCACCAUGACCAAGUUUGCCAUUAUCUCCUCCUCCAAAUGACCAUACCGUUCUGCCAUCUUUGGACAGAGCUAUUGUGUGUGAACUGCCACAGGAAACCUCUCCUACAUUGCUAAUAUCUUUUACUAAAGUCGGAAUGUUGCGGCUGUUGCUGUCACCGUGACCUAAUCUCCCAAAGUCUCCUUCUCCCCAUGUAUACAGCUCUCCAUCUUCGGUAACAGCAGCACUAUGUCUGUAUCCAGCUGACACACAUACAACAACCUUUCCUUGCAGCGGGCCCUGAAUAAGUUUGGGAUAUUUCUGAGUUGAACUGUUUCCGUGUCCCAGUUUUCCAUAGUCACCAUCACCCC